CAACCUCAACUCAUAUGGGACUACCCCCUGAAUUUAAGCAUAUUAAUUAGGGGAGGAAAAGAAACUAACAAGGAUUUUCUUAGUAGAGGCGAGCGAAAAGAAAUCAGUUCAGCACUAAGUCACUUUGUCUAUAUGGCAAAUGUGAGAUGCAGUGUACGGAACAUCAACAUUCUAGUAUGAGAAGUUAACGAUUUAAGUCCUUCUUAAAUGAGGCCAUUUACCCAUAGAGGGUGCCAGGCCCGUAUAACGUUAAUGAUUACUAGAUGGUGUUUCCAAAGAGUCGUGUUGCUUGAUAGUGCAGCACUAAGUGGGUGGUAAACUCCAUCUAAAACUAAAUAUAACCAUGAGACCGAUAGUAAACAAGUACCGUGAGGGAAAGUUGAAAAGAACUCUGAAUAGAGAGUUAAAUAGUACGUGAAACUGCUUAGAGGUUAAGCCCGAUGAACCUGAAUAUCCGUUAUGGAAAAUUCAUCAUUAGAAUUGUAAUAUUUUAAACAAUAUUAUAAUAAUAGUGUGCAUUUUUUCCAUAUAAGGACAUUGUAAUCUAUUAGCAUAAAUAUUUAUCAUAAAAUUAUGUCUGAUUGCUUAUUUGAAUUAUAUGCUUGGCAUUUUAACAUAAAAUAAAAGAUAUAAAUUUGAUAAAGUGCUGAUAGAUUUAUAUGAUUACAGUGCGUUAAUUUUUCGGAAUUAUAUAAUGGCAUAAUUAUCAUUGAUAUUUGUGUUUAUUAUAUGCAUUUGUAUGAUUAACAAUGCUAAAGAUUCAAGAUACCUUCGGGACCCGUCUUGAAACACGGACCCAGGAGUCUAACAUAUGUGCCAGUUAUUGGGAAUAAACCUUAUAACCGUUAUUAACUUGACUAUUAUUGGGAUUUAUUUUUUAACCUAUUUAUAGUGAUGUAACGCAAUCACGGGGCGCUCUAUCUAAUUAUGUAU
rfam:Drosophila virilis strain TSC#15010-1051.87 Ctg01_10390, whole genome shotgun sequence.